rnacentral:rRNA from 1 species
GACAGAGGAGCCAAGCGUUGUCCGGAUUGACUGGGCGUAAAGCGCACGCAGGCGGCCCGGCGCGUGGGGUGUGAAAGCUGGCGGCUUAACUGCCAGACGCCAUCCCAUACGGCUGGGCUCGAGCCCUGCAGACGGUCCAUGGAAUUGGCCGGUGUAGUGGUGAAAUGCGUAGAGAUCGGCAGGAACACCCAGGGGGAAACCAGUGGACUGG